rnacentral:rRNA from 1 species
GACGAACGCUGGCGGCGUGCUUAACACAUGCAAGUCGAACGGAAAGGCCCUGCUUUUGUGGGGUGCUCGAGUGGCGAACGGGUGAGUAACACGUGAGUAACCUGCCCUUGACUUUGGUAUAACUUCAGGAAACUGGGGCUAAUCCCGUAUAGGAGCUCCUGCUGCAUGGUGGGGGUUGGAAAGUUUCGGCGGUUGGGGAUGGACUGGCGGCUUACCAGCUUGUUGGUGGGGUAGUGGCUUACCAAGGCUUUGACGGGUAGCCGGCCUGAGAGGGUGACCGGCCACAAUGGGACUGAGAUACGGACCAGACUCCUACGGGAGGCAGCAGGGGGGAGUAUUGCACAAUGGGCGGGAGCCUGAUGCAGCAACGCCGCGUGCGGGAUGACGGCCCUCGGGUUGUAAACCGCUUUAGCCUGUGACGAAGCGUGAGUGACGGUAAUGGGUAAAGAAGCACCGGCUAACUACGUA